CAGGACCUGUGGGCAGGAAGAGCUGCUGCCCCGGGUUGUGAGGGUGUUGCUGAAUUAAGAACUCCCUGAUCAAGGACCCUUAGGGAACACCAAAAUAAAUGAAGCUGAAUGUCUUCCUUUGGGACUUCUAAAGCCUUUCACGUGCUAAUGCCUCUGAAAAGAAGGGUCUUAACUAGGAAAGCCGCUGGUUCACAGCACGUUCCUUCAUUUUGCUUAUAAAGGACAAUGACAAGACUGGGACGAUGAAUACCCAGCCUCCAGAGCGUCGUCUCAUGACG